rnacentral:rRNA from 1 species
UACAGAGGGUGCGAGCGUUAAUCGGAAUUACUGGGCAUAAAGCGUGCGUAGACGGUUAUUUAAGUCGGGUGUGAAAGCCCCGGGCUCAACCUGGGAAUUGCAUUCGAGACUGAAUAGCUAGGGUACGGUAGAGGGAAGCGGAAUUUCCGGUGUAGCGGUGAAAUGCGUAGAUAUCGGAAGGAACAUCAGUGGCGAAAGCGGCUUCCUGGACCAGUACCGACGUUCAGGCACGAAAGCGUGGGGAGCAAACAGG